AUGAUUGCUAUUCUUGGUUUUGUGUCUGCACCAGGUCCAGGACUGUCUGAGCUGAAGGGAGACCCAGAAACCUCUGUCACAUCCUGCGCCCACUUGGGUGUCCCAAGCACAGAUCAGUAUCUCAGCAGAUAAGCAAUGCUGGUGACCCGCCUACCCACGGAGAAAGAGAAAACCAAAAGGCUGCCUCCAUGAAAGAUCUUCACCAAACUAAACCUCAAGUGGAAUAAGGUUACACGUCACCACUGGACGUUUAAGAUUCUCCGGUGCACUCGGGGAGAGAUGGGAAUAGUGAAGGAUGUGCUUUUGCUGACUUUUCUCCAGCUCUGGUGCCACGUGCUGAAGCUAAACACUGCAUGACCUUGGCCUCACUCUCCCACUCCCAAAUAAAGUAGAGGGAGUGACAGUCAGGAGUUGGUGGCAAAGGGGAUAAAGGGAAAGGACUGCUUCAACACAAACUGAAAUUUAAAGAAAGAGGUGUGGGUAGCGAUCUCUUGGGGACACUGGGUGAGCAGGCUGGUAGACCACAUGGGUAAAAAUUGGAAAGCUCCGAUGGGGGCACUUUGAAAUAACUUCUACUGACGAAGGCAUCUGAGACGCAGAAGGAGAUCCAGGUAGAGGCACACUCACCUUUUAAAAAAGACCGACUUUUUUUUGCUCAAAAACAAAGAUGUUGUACUUGUUCUGAAGCUCAGGGUGUUGAGGGCAACUCUUUAAACCAAAAUUUCCCCUUCAUUUGUGAUAAUAUGGAUUUAUGUCCUGAUUUUAAUGCAUAUUCGGAGGAAGGCAACUGGAAAUAAUGCCUCGACAGUUUUAGUGUUUUGAGCAUGAAUAUGAUUUCUAGUUUACCUAAAACGGAAUGAAUUUGCUGAGGGUAUCACUAUAAGAAGCAAAAGCUAAGGAAGGAAGUUAUCAAUAAUUUGAGACUCCUGGUUCACACAGGAAAUGAAAAACCUGCCUACUGAAGAUCUAUGCCAGGCUCCACUUAACUCACCGACCCUCAUGCUAAAAUGCUAAGCAGGAUGGAUAUGAUUUUUCUUGCUACUAGGUUAUCCUUUGAAUCUCUUCCUGUAGGUGGCAGACACAGAAUGGUGUAACCAGACUUUGAGGGGAUGUCUGAUCCUUGUAUGAUGGCCAAGAAUCACAGAACUCACUCUUUCUAGCUGGCUCAGUAACAGCUGUUCAUUCAACAAUGUUUGGAAAACCCUUAGCAGUCUAUGGUCUUGGCCUUCAAGAAGUCUCAGUUCAGUGAGAUAAAGAGAUACACAAACAAGUAAUGUUAGGAUCAUUAGAAUAAGGGCUGCACACGAGGUACAUUUAAAAAAUCCUAGAAGUUCACAGAAGGGAGUGAAAAAUCUCUUUCUAGGGGAGGCACGAAAGGCUUCUCACAGAAAAUAGCAUCUGGGCCCCCACAUGAAGAGCAGGAGUUAUGAAGUAUAAAAGAAGGUCACUCAAGGCAGAGAAGAGCAAAUGAAAAGUCAGGAAGGUAUUGAAAGGCGAGCUCCAGGGAGGAAGGAGGAUAGUGUGUCUGAAGCAUAGAGUAUGAGGUGGGCACAUAGAGAAUAAUGUGGAAAGGGCAGCUAUACAAGAUGCCAAGAGGGGAGAUGUCUCUCGUUCUGGGGAACUUUUUGGAGAAAAAAAUUAAAAUGCACUCAUAAUACAAAAACUUUCAAGAAAACAGUAUUGGAUUUGGCAAUCCCCAAAUUCUCCCCAAUUCUGAACUUCUAGUUGCUAGUUUAUUCAAGAGAAAACCAAGCUAAUGGCAGAAAUGAACAAGAAAACUUUUCUUUUCCCUAAAAAUAUGCCUUAAUUUAUUUGCUGGAACACACUUAUUUUAUAUUGAACUCAUGGUUGUUAUUUUAAUAUUAA
rnacentral:lncRNA from 9 species